GACGAACGCUGGCGGCGUGCCUAAUACAUGCAAGUAGAACGCUGAAACUUGAUGCUUGCACCGAGCGGAUGAGUUGCGAACGGGUGAGUAACGCGUAGGUAACCUGCCUGGUAGCGGGGGAUAACUAUUGGAAACGAUAGCUAAUACCGCAUAAGAGUAGAUGUUGCAUGACAUUUGCUUAAAAGGUGCAAUUGCACCACUACCAGAUGGACCUGCGUUGUAUUAGCUAGUUGGUGGGGUAACGGCUCACCAAGGCGACGAUACAUAGCCGACCUGAGAGGGUGAUCGGCCACACUGGGACUGAGACACGGCCCAGACUCCUACGGGAGGCAGCAGUAGGGAAUCUUCGGCAAUGGACGGAAGUCUGACCGAGCAACGCCGCGUGAGUGAAGAAGGUUUUCGGAUCGUAAAGCUCUGUUGUAAGAGAAGAACGAGUGUGAGAGUGGAAAGUUCACACUGUGACGGUAUCUGACCAGAAAGGGACGGCUAACUACGAG
rnacentral:rRNA from 1 species